rnacentral:rRNA from 1 species
AGAGUUUGAUCCUGGCUCAGAGUGAACGCUGGCGGCAGGCCUAACACAUGCAAGUCGAGCGGCAGCGCGGGGGCAACCCUGGCGGCGAGCGGCGGACGGGUGAGGAACACAUCGGAAUCUACCUUGUCGUGGGGGAUAACGUAGGGAAACUUACGCUAAUACCGCAUACGACCUACGGGUGAAAGCGGCGGACCGCAAGGCGUCGCGCGAUUGGAUGAGCCGAUGUCCGAUUAGCUAGUUGGCGGGGUAAAGGCCCACCAAGGCGACGAUCGGUAGCUGGUCUGAGAGGACGACCAGCCACACUGGAACUGAGACACGGUCCAGACUCCUACGGGAGGCAGCAGUGGGGAAUAUUGGACAAUGGGCGCAAGCCUGAUCCAGCCAUGCCGCGUGGGUGAAGAAGGCCUUCGGGUUGUAAAGCCCUUUUGUCCGGAAAGAAAAGCAUUCGGUUAAUACCCGGGUGUGAUGACGGUACCGGAAGAAUAAGCACCGGCUAACUUCGUGCCAGCAGCCGCGGUAAUACGAAGGGUGCAAGCGUUACUCGGAAUUACUGGGCGUAAAGCGUGCGUAGGUGGUUCGUUAAGUCUGUCGUGAAAUCCCCGGGCUCAACCUGGGAAUGGCGAUGGAUACUGGCGGGCUAGAGUGCGGUAGAGGAGAGUGGAAUUCCCGGUGUAGCAGUGAAAUGCGUAGAGAUCGGGAGGAACAUCAGUUGCGAAGGCGGCUCUCUGGACCAGCACUGACACUGAGGCACGAAAGCGUGGGGAGCAAACAGGAUUAGAUACCCCGGUAGU